GACGAACGCUGGCGGCGUGCCUAAUACAUGCAAGUCGAACGCAGUGGGGACGGGUGAGUAACACGUGGGUAACCUCCCAUCAGAGGGGAUAACACUUGGAAACUGGUGCUAAACUGAUACUGAAUGAUGGACCCGCGGUGCAUUAGCCAGUUGGUGAGGUAACGGCUUACCAAGGCCACGAUGCAUAGCCGGCCUGAGAGGGUGAUCGGACACACUGGAACUGAGACACGGCCCAGACGCCGACGGGAGGCAGCAGUAGGGAAUCUUCGGCAAGGGACGAAAGUCUGACCGAGCAACGCCGCGUGAGUGAAGAAGGUUUUCGGAUCGUAAAACUCUGUUGUUAGAGAAGCGGUAUCUAAACAGAAAGCCACGGCUAACUACGUGCCAGCAGCCGCGGUAAUUC
rnacentral:rRNA from 1 species